GGACAUGAGAAACGUGUGGCGCAUCUGUGAUGGUGAUCAUGAAGAAAGGUAGAGACACCGCGGCUGAUCAUCGGAUUUCUUCCCACGACUGAGGGUAAAAACACGCCUGUGAAGUUCUUUCUGCAUCUCUUGUUUUAUACAUGGCUUAUGGGGGUGGAGAUGGUGUUGGGAAGGGGUUGCAGGCACUUGAAGAGGACCUUAGUGAGAACAGCUGGAGCAGGGCUGGAGACCGUUCUCGUUGCACGCUGUGCACUUCAGAGCUUUGAAGGAGUCGGUGAAGCAGUUGCGAAACACAGACAUUUUGCUGCCAUGGCACAUAGGGCACGGGACAAAGGCAAAUCCCCCACACGUCUGGCAUGUGUCGGGGUGCUGAACCCUCUACGAUCAGACAGAGAAAAAUGGGAGUGAAUUUGAAUGAAACACUAGACCUGUGUGUGUACAGAUGCUCUUUAAGAUACAAUGUAAGUGAUGCUUUUUUAUUUAUUUAUAAAAUAAGACAAGUGCAAGCUUGACUUUAUCUACUAUUUUGGGCUGUUUUGCACUGCUUAUAUAAAUGCACAGCAAUAAUUUACCCCCUGUAUUUUAUUUUAUUUUAUUUUAUUAUUGGUGGGAACCUAUGUAAAUUAUUGACACUAACUAUUUGUUUAAAAAAACAGCAUAUAGAAAAUGUCUGCCAAAUGCAUAAAUGUAAUGUAAUAAAUCGCUGAUUUAUUUACAGUCUAUGUGUAAAGAGAUAAAAUGACCUGUAAUAAUAAACCUUUCCUCUCAUAAGUGGUUCUGUUUUCCUUUAAAGAAUAAACUAUGGCAACAAA